rnacentral:tRNA from 1 species
GGCCAGCAUAGCGUAGUGCUUUGAGCAUUGGAUUAGGACUCUGGAGACCAGGGUUCGAUUCCUAGCUUGGCCA